GUUUCCCCGUAACCUAUUGGCGGACUGGAGUAUCCGAGGUUUCCCCGUAACCUAUUGGUGGACUGGAGUAUCCGAGGUUUCCCCGUAACCUGUUGGCGGACUGGAGUAUCCGAGGUUUCUGUUACAGAGAUUGAAUUUUUAAAUGAAAAUCAUAAAAUACAACAGUCAAAGGGAGACUACUCAUUCGUAUAUCUUAAUUAUAAUAACGUCCACACGUCGAAUACAGGUGAUAUACAUAUGAUAUAACUACAGCAAUUACCUGAUUAUUAUGACCAUAUCAUAUAAACUGUAUGUCACUCAGAUGUUGACAGACUUUGAACAAACGUCCAUAUGCAGAUAUCUGCACUAGCAAUAACUAGCAAUACAAUAAAGAAAUGAAAUUUAGUUUAUAUAUACAUUUAUACAGUUCUUUAAUGGCUCAAAUGUAUGCCGAGAACAAAAAUCAUUGACCAAAGUACCAAAAUACAUGCUCAGUGGAUGGCUCUUUAUUAAUCCUUAUUAGAAAAGAAUUUACAGAAAAGUUGACAGAGCAAAACAGGAUCUUUCCUGACAUAGUGUACACCCGAGAUUUAUAUUAACCCUUAUUGUGGACUUGAGUACCUGAGAUUGGCCCUAACCCUGUUACCCAAGUUAUCGUAUUUGAGGACUAUUAUAUAGCUAUACAUAUAUGUAAGUAUAUCUAAUAUUUGUAUUUACUACAGGUGUUCAAUACUAUUGCAAUAAUGAGUUUUUAUUUUCUAAUAUGCGGAUUUAUACAACUGCCUCGUACUCUGAUUUAUUUACCAAUAAAUGAGUCUAUCUUUAUAUUGUAUUGUUGAUAACAAAUAAAUAAAACAGAGAAUAAAACACGCUUCUUAUGUC